rnacentral:rRNA from 1 species
UACGUAGGGGGCAAGCGUUGUCCGGAUUUAUUGGGCGUAAAGAGCUUGUAGGCGGUCUGUCGCGUCUGCUGUGAAAAUCCGGGGCUCAACCCCGGACUUGCAGUGGGUACGGGCAGACUAGAGUGUGGUAGGGGAGACUGGAAUUCCUGGUGUAGCGGUGAAAUGCGCAGAUAUCAGGAGGAACACCGAUGGCGAAGGCAGGGUCUCUGGGCUGACACUGACGCUCAUGCACGAAAGCGUGGGGAGCAA